GAGUUUGAUCCUGGCUCAGAUUGAACGCUGGCGGCAUGCCUUACACAUGCAAGUCGAACGGCAGCACGGGAGCUUGCUCCUGGUGGCGAGUGGCGAACGGGUGAGUAAUGCAUCGGAACGUAUCCUGGAGUGGGGGAUAACGUAGCGAAAGUUACGCUAAUACCGCAUAUUCUGUGAGCAGGAAAGCGGGGGACCUUCGGGCCUCGCGCUCUUGGAGCGGCCGAUGUCGGAUUAGCUAGUUGGUGAGGUAAAGGCUCACCAAGGCGACGAUCCGUAGUAGGUCUGAGAGGAUGAUCUGCCGACACUGGAACUGAGACACGGUCCAGACUCCUACGGGAGGCAGCAGUGGGGAAUUUUGGACAAUGGGGGCAACCCUGAUCCAGCCAUGCCGCGUGAGUGAAGAAGGCCUCGGU
rnacentral:rRNA from 1 species